UGUAAAAUAAAUCUCUGAAUUUAAAGGGAAUAUCGUAAUAACUUACAUGCAGUCUCUUUUACUAGAUGGAAGGAACAAUCAAGAAAAUCUCCAUAUAUCAAGGAGUUUAACAUUAAUAUUAAUUAUGUGGACAGUAAUACAUCGUUUUACGUAGACACACUCUUUAGAAGCCGCUUCAGACUAGGGAUGUUGUGGUAAGGUGUCAUCUUCUGGAUCUUCUGAAGUUCGGUUAUUUGUAGCUCAUUCUGUAUCUUCCUGGACAUCAUAUCAAAACGUACUGAAACAUGCUUUCAUCAUUCGCUGCUCUAACAUUGUUGGUAUUCACCUGUUUGUAUAUAUUGAUGGUAUGCUGUUAAAUCUGUAAUAAAGUUUUAUGAAGAA